rnacentral:rRNA from 1 species
UGAAUACGAGAUGCUACGGCGUCGAAGCAGUCUAUGUCAUACUUCCAAGAAAAGCUUGCACUGUCAUAAACAAAUAAUGCCUGUACCAUAACCGACACAGGUGGGUAGGUAGAGUAUACUAAGGGGCGCGAGAUAACUCUCUCUAAGGAACUCGGCAAAAUGACUCCGUAACUUCGGGAGAAGGAGUGCCUUAUUUAUAAGGUUGCAAUAACAAGACCCAAGCAACUGUUUAUCAAAAACACAGGUCUCCGCUAAGUCGUAAGACGAUGUAUGGGGGCUGACGCCUGCCCAGUGCCAGAAGGUUAAAGAAGUUGGUUAGCAUUAGCGAAGCUGAUGACUGAAGCCCUGGUGAACGGCGGCCGUAACAAUAACGGUCCUAAGGUAGCGAAAUUCCUUGUCGGGUAAGUUCCGACCCGCACGAAAGGCGUAAUGAUUUGGGUACUGUCUCAGAGAGGGACUCGGUGAAAUAGACUUGUCUGUGAAGAUGCGGACUACCUGCACCUGGACAGAAAGACCCUAUGAAGCUUUACUGUAACCUGAAAUUGAAAUUGGACUUUAUUUGCGCAGUAUAGGUGGGAGGCUUUGAAGAUAUUCUUGCGGGAAUGUUGGAGCCAUCAGUGAGAUACCACUCUUGUAAUGUUAGAUUUCUAACUUUGUAUCAUUAUCUGGUCAAAGAACAGUUUCAGGCGGGCAGUUUGACUGGGGCGGUCGCCUCCUAAACGGUAACGGAGGCGCACAAAGGUUUCCUCUGAACGGGUAGAAAUCGUAUCUAGAGUGUAAAGGCAUAAGGAAGCUUGACUGUGAGACCUACAAGUCGAGCAGGGACGAAAGUCGGUCUUAGUGAUCUGACGGUGCUGAGUGGAAAGGCCGUCACUCAACGGAUAAAAGUUACUCUAGGAUAACAGGCUGAUCUCCCCCAAGAGUUCACAUCGACGGGGAGGUUUGGCACCUCGAUGUCGGCUCAUCGCAUCCUGGGGCGGUAGUACGUCCCAAGGGUUGGGCUGUUCGCCCAUGAAAGCGGUACGCGAGCUGGGUUCAGAACGUCGUGAGACAGUUCGGUCCAUAUCCGGUGUAGGCGUUAGAAUAUUGAGAGGAGCCUUCUCUAGUACGAGAGGACCGAGAAGGACACACCUCUGGUGUACCAGUUAUCGUGCCAACGGUAAACGCUGGGUAGCUAUGUGUGGAGCGGAUAACCGCUGAAAGCAUCUAAGUGGGAAGCCCACCUCAAGAUAAGUAUUCUCAUC